rnacentral:rRNA from 1 species
CUACGUGCCAGCAGCCGCGGUAAUACGGAAAGUCCAGGCGUUAUCCGGAUUUAUUGGGUUUAAAGGGAGCGUAGGCCGUGGAUUAAGCGUGUUGUGAAAUGUAGACGCUCAACGUCUGAAUUGCAGCGCGAACUGGUUCACUUGAGUAUGCGCAACGUAGGCGGAAUUCGUCGUGUAGCGGUGAAAUGCUUAGAUAUGACGAAGAACUCCGAUUGCGAAGGCAGCUUACGGGAGCACAACUGACGCUGAAGCUCGAAGGUGCGGGUAUCAAACAGGAUUAGAUACCCUGGUAGUCCGCACAGUAAACGAUGGAUGCCCGUUGUUAGUUCACUUAUGAAUUAGCGACCAAGCGAAAGCAUUAAGCAUCCCACCUGGGGAGUACGCCGGCAACGGUGAAACUCAAAGGAAUUGACGGGGGCCCGCACAAGCGGAGGAACAUGUGGUUUAAUUCGAUGAUACGCGAGGAACCUUGCCCGGGCUUGAAUUGCAGACGAACGAUUCAGAGAUGAUGAGG